AUGUCAGGAAUAAAGAAGAUCCAUAACCAGCUAGCAUAUAAUAUUGAAGCUUACAUAAAUGGCACAAAAUAUAUAAUAGAUGAAAUUACAAUAAGAGAUUUGUCAGUAAUAAAUGAUGACAUGAUAAUAGGGUUAAGAUUUUUACAACAAUCUUUACAAACCACAAUCAUACAUGAAGAGGGGGUAACAUUUAUUCCUUAUCAAGAUAAUGUUCCAUACAUAUCUGAAGUGCGAAAACAAAGAAAGUCCUUGCAAAAUGUAGAAAUAUCUAAUUUAGAUGAUGAAUAUAGCACAAGUCCAGAUCCCCUUGAAUUCUGUAAAGACGAAGAACUUAGUGAGACCAUAGAAGAAUAUCAUAUAGAAAAUACAUGUACUGAAUGCAUUGGGUUGCAAUCAUUCUCUCCAAAUUGGUAUAGAGAUAUAAAAUCCAAAAAGGAUAUAGAUAAGAUUGUGCAAAGACUAGAAAGUAUACAAAUUAUUGGAGAAAUACCAAUGAAACAUUGGGAUAAGAACUUUAUAGUUUGCAAAAUAAAUAUCAUAAAUCCAGAUUAUAUAAUUAAGUCAGGACCAAUAGAAGCAACUCCUAAAGAUAUCGAAGAGUUCAAAAUGCAUAUUGAAGAGUUAUUAAAGUUAAAAGCUAUAAGAGAAAGCAGAAGCCCUCAUCGAUCUGCUGCUUUUAUAGUUAGAAAUCAUGCUGAAGAAGUUAGAGGCCUAAAGAAUGCACCUGCACUAUUUCAAAGAAAGAUGCAAAAUAUAUUUAAUGAGAAUCAAGCAUUUAUAUUAGUAUACGUAGAUGAUUUGUUAGUAUUCUCAAAAUCAUACAAAGAGCAUAUAGCCCAUCUUGAAGUGUUCUUUCGAAAGGUAGAACAAAAUGGGCUCAUACUAUCUAAAAAGAAGAUGGAGAUUUGCAGAGAGAAAAUAAAUUUCCUUGGUCAUGAAAUAGGAGAAGGAAAAAUAUAUCUACAAGAACAUAUUGCAAAGAAAAUAUUAGAGUUUCCUGAUAAUAUGAGUGAUAAAAAGGUUUUACAACAGUUCUUAGGAAUUGUGAACUAUGCGCGAAACUAUAUAGAUAACUUAGCAAAGCUAGUAGGACCUUUAUAUGCUAAAUUAAGAAAAAAUGGUCAAAGAUACUUCAAUUCUGAAGAUAUAAAAUUAGUAAAGGCCAUCAAGGAAAAGGUCAGGAAUUUAAAACCCCUAGAAUUGCCUCUAGAAGACAAUUAUUUUAUAAUUGAGACAGAUGCAUCUAAGGUAGGAUGGGGUGCGAUACUAAAACAAAAGCCCAAUAAAUACUCUCCAAAGGCAGACGAAAAAAUAUGCAGAUAUGCUUCAGGAAGUUACAAAUUAAAGACGGUAAAUAAUAUUGAUAGAGAAAUUCUUGCAGUUGUAAAUGCAAUAAAUGCAUUUAGGUUAUAUCUAGGAUUUAAAGAAUUUACAGUACGAACAGACUGUGAAGCCAUAUGCCGAUAUUACAAUAAAAUUAAUAGUAAGAAAAGCUCAACCAAAAGAUGGGUCUUAUUUGAAAACACCAUAGCUGGAAAUGGUUAUAAAGUUAUUUUUGAGCAUAUUAAGGGGAAGGAUAAUACCUUACCUGACAUAUUUUCUCGUGCAUCAAAUUUGCAGGAAUGA
rnacentral:rRNA from 1 species